UCCUUGGUGGUCCAGUGGUUAGGACUGGGAGCUUUCACUGCUGGGGCCCAGGUUCAAUCCCUGGUCAGGGAA
rnacentral:tRNA from 1 species